GCUUGACGCAGAUACCAUGCAGUCGUACAGGGUAACCCGAGCUUGCUCUGUGGGAUCAGUGGCGAACGGGUGAGUAACACGUGAGCAACCUGCCCCUGACUCUGGGAUAAGCGCUGGAAACGGCGUCUAAUACUGGAUAUGUGACGUGACCGCAUGGUCUGCGUUUGGAAAGAUUUUUCGGUUGGGGAUGGGCUCGCGGCCUAUCAGCUUGUUGGUGAGGUAAUGGCUCACCAAGGCGUCGACGGGUAGCCGGCCUGAGAGGGUGACCGGCCACACUGGGACUGAGACACGGCCCAGACUCCUACGGGAGGCAGCAGUGGGGAAUAUUGCACAAUGGGCGAAAGCCUGAUGCAGCAACGCCGCGUGAGGGAUGACGGCCUUCGGGUUGUAAACCUCUUUUAGCAGGGAAGAAGCGAAAGUGACGGUACCUGCAGAAAAAGCGCCGGCUAACUACGUGCCAGCAGCCGCGGUAAUACGUAGGGCGCAAGCGUUAUCCGGAAUUAUUGGGCGUAAAGAGCUCGUAGGCGGUUUGUCGCGUCUGCUGUGAAAUCCCGAGGCUCAACCUCGGGCCUGCAGUGGGUACGGGCAGACUAGAGUGCGGUAGGGGAGAUUGGAAUUCCUGGUGUAGCGGUGGAAUGCGCAGAUAUCAGGAGGAACACCGAUGGCGAAGGCAGAUCUCUGGGCCGUAACUGACGCUGAGGAGCGAAAGGGUGGGGAGCAAACAGGCUUAGAUACCCUGGUAGUCCACCCCGUAAACGUUGGGAACUAGUUGUGGGGUCCAUUCCACGGAUUCCGUGACGCAGCUAACGCAUUAAGUUCCCCGCCUGGGGAGUACGGCCGCAAGGCUAAAACUCAAAGGAAUUGACGGGGACCCGCACAAGCGGCGGAGCAUGCGGAUUAAUUCGAUGCAACGCGAAGAACCUUACCAAGGCUUGACAUAUACGAGAACGGGCCAGAAAUGGUCAACUCUUUGGACACUCGUAAACAGGUGGUGCAUGGUUGUCGUCAGCUCGUGUCGUGAGAUGUUGGGUUAAGUCCCGCAACGAGCGCAACCCUCGUUCUAUGUUGCCAGCACGUAAUGGUGGGAACUCAUGGGAUACUGCCGGGGUCAACUCGGAGGAAGGUGGGGAUGACGUCAAAUCAUCAUGCCCCUUAUGUCUUGGGCUUCACGCAUGCUACAAUGGCCGGUACAAAGGGCUGCAAUACCGUGAGGUGGAGCGAAUCCCAAAAAGCCGGUCCCAGUUCGGAUUGAGGUCUGCAACUCGACCUCAUGAAGUCGGAGUCGCUAGUAAUCGCAGAUCAGCAACGCUGCGGUGAAUACGUUCCCGGGUCUUGUACACACCGCCCGUCAAGUCAUGAAAGUCGGUAACACCUGAAGCCGGGUAGCACGUAUACAUCCUGGCUCAGAGGAACCUACGAGAGCGGAUUCGUA
rnacentral:rRNA from 1 species